rnacentral:rRNA from 1 species
CCUGAUCCAGCCAUGCCGCGUGCGGGAAGAAGGCCUUCGGGUUGUAAACCGCUUUUGUCAGGGAAGAAAUCUUCUGGGUUAAUACCUCGGGAGGAUGACGGUACCUGAAGAAUAAGCACCGGCUAACUACGUGCCAGCAGCCGCGGUAAGACGUAGGGAGCGAGCGUUGUCCGGGUUCAUUGGGCGUAAAGCGCGCGUAGGCGGUUUGGUAAGUCGGAUGUGAAAUCCCGAGGCUCAACCUCGGGACUGCAUCCGAUACUGCCCGACUAGAGGUAGGUAGGGGAGAUCGGAAUUCCUGGUGUAGCGGUGAAAUGCGCAGAUAUCAGGAGGAACACCGGUGGCGAAGGCGGAUCUCUGGGCCUUACCUGACGCUGAGGCGCGAAAGCUAGGGGAGCAAACAGGAUUAGAUACCCUGGUAGUCCUAGCCGUAAACGUUGGGUGCUAGGUGUGGGCGGAUAUCGACCCCGUCCGUGCCGAAGCUAACGCAUUAAGCACCCCGCCUGGGGAGUACGGCCGCAAGGCUA